GCCCUAGGUAGCUCAGAUGGACAGAGCAUCUGCUGUGUAAGCAGGAGAUCCCAGGUUCGAAUCCUGGUCAGGGCA